rnacentral:lncRNA from 1 species
GAAAAUCAUAAUUAUCUUUACAGAAAUUCUGCAAAUAGAGAAUUAUUGGGGUUGGAUAAUGAAAAGAAAUCAUGGGAUUUGAUUCCGACAAAGAAAAAAGAAAUAAAAUUAUGCCGACAAAUGUGGGACGAGACAAUGCGGAAAUAAAAAGGAAAAAGAGAAGAAGGUGUGCAUGAGAUGUUGGACAUAUGAACUCACUCCAUCUUCUUUUGUUUGCACUGUACAUAUAAUUUUUGUGGACAACAAUAUUUUCAGGUGUGGUUUAUUC